CCCUGCUCAAUGAUAGUUUAAAUAGCCGCAGUACUUUGACUGUGCAAAGGUAGCAUAAUCAAUUGACUUAUAAUUGAAGUCUAGAAUGAAUGGGUUUUUGGAAAAUAACUGUCUUUAACAGGUAAUUAGAAGUUACUUAAUAAGUGCAAAUACUUAUAUAAAUAUAAAAGACGAGAAGACCCUUGAAAUUUUUUAUAAAAUCUUAAUAACUUGUUAUUUUGUUGGGGCGACAGAAUUACAGUUAACUAAUUCUAUAGGAAUGAAAUUUAUAAAAUGAAAUACUAAAUUACUCUAGGGAUAACAGCAUAAUUUUAAAAAGUUUGUGACCUCGAUGUUGGACUAGGAUUUAAUAUACUUAGAAGGCGUAUUUAUCUGCUCUGUUCGAGCAUAUAUCCCUACGUGAUCUGAGUUCAGACCGGA
rnacentral:rRNA from 1 species